UAUACAUGUGACACAUGGACCUAAUAGGCUAACAUAAUCAUUUAUAAACUCAAACAUAGGCCGACAGGGCCGUACAAUCUUUCACGUACACGACAUAUGUCUAUAAGCCUCUAAGAGUACAUAAGUGUCACAAAGGUCGGGACAGAGUCCUGCCAUACCAAACAAUAGACGUCUAAAUCACUAACCAAAUACGCAACUCCGAAGCAAAUGGAGUGCACCAACAUCUUCCGCUGAGCUGAUAGCCUACUUGGAGGGCUCUCGACCUGUCUAUCAGGACCUGCGGGCAUGAAAUGCAGCGUCCCCAAGCAAAAGGGAUGUCAGUACAAAUAAUGUACCGAGUAUGUAAGGCACAUAAAUAAAUACAUAGGAGACAUGGAAGACAUAUGGAGUACAUGACUCAACCCGUAAGUCUGAAUAACUUUGUAAAUCAUAAAUUACUUUCAACGUCAUGCAUAUGCGUAUGAAUGUCAUGUCGUGCAUAGGUAUAUGUUUCAUAACAUCAUCAGCCUCUGCGGGCAUCCCAUCAUAUCAUAUCGGCCACUGUAAGCAAAGUCAUAAUCGUAUACCAGCUGAUCAGGUGGUGGUGCGUAUAUAACGCCAUAACCAUUCUCAUAUCCCAUAUACAUAUAUAUAUAUACAUAUAUACGCGUAUAUAAUGUCGUUUGAAUACAUACAUAUAUAUACGUAUAUAACGCCAUUUGAAUACAUACCCAUAUAUGCGUAUAUAACGUCGUUUGAAUUAUAUUUCAGCCACUGUGGGCAACAUCAUCAUCAUAUACCAGUUGAUCAGGUGGUGGUGCGUAUAUAAUGCCGUAACCUUUUCUCAUAUCCCAUAUACAUAUAUAUACAUACAUAUAUGCGCGUAUAUAACGCCGUCUGAGUCAUGGGUCAAUGUACAUGUAUAAAUGCAUGAAAUGCAUAUGAAAUACAAUAACAAAAUUUCUCGAUACAUCAUAAGACCAUUAUACCUCUGAUUACUAUCAUAACAUUAUUUUACGUAUUUUCUAAGAUCCAUGAACAGACGAUGGAAUAAUAAGACAUAUGAAGAUUCAAGAACAUAGGCACUUCUAAUACUUCUAUGAAUAGAGUCAUAUAUGGAAUUUGUGUAUUUGCACGUUUCGUUCGUAUCGUAUAGAUCAUGCCAAAAGAAAGAAGGGAUAGCCUUAACAUACCUGGGAGUAGGGAAAACUUCAUAUAAUACUCUUGGAGAAGAUUGCACCGUACUCCUUUAAAAUUGCAAAAUUUUACGUUGCUAUAAUUCUAACAAAUUCACGUUGGAAUUGUGUUGUUGCAAGAAUUCGUCGGAAACCUUUUCUUUUCGGGUGCUUAGCGUUCUGCUAUUGCUUAUUAAUAAUGAAAUGAGGAGGCAAGACUUUUGUUUUUGAUUGAUGGUAGGUUGUCACGAUUGUAAAAGAGAAGGUUUUGAUGUAUGCAUUUUAUUCCAGAGAAACUGCAAAUAACUUUGAGACUGAAGUCAUUUCCCACUACGCAAUAAGAAACACUUCUAUGUCCGACCAAAUAGAGUCCAAAUUAGCAAAAAAUAAAUGGCAAUUGGGGCGAGACUUGUUUUGUUGUUCUCUGCCCCAAAGUGUUAUCAAACUCUUAAAGAAGAUGUAAUUUAAAAGAGACCAAUUUUGAUACACACCUUUAGUUAUUUAAGAGAGAUACACGUUGAUGCCACUGAUCUUACAUGACUAAUUAGGCAUGUGCUUUGAGCUUACUUGCUGCCACGUUGAGCCCUUUAGGCUUAUCCAACAAUUACCCACUUAAUUCCUUAAUUAUCCUCAUAAUUAAUUAGGUAAUGUCCCGUUACCCGGUAAUUAAUCAAUUAUCUGUAAAAUUGAGAAUUAUUCCCACUUACUUAAAAUAUUACUCACCUUUCACAUACCUUAUACAUCUUUCUAUCAUAGCCAUGUGGUACCUUGUAUGGUACUAGUCCAUAAAUACCAGGUAUUUUAACUCAGGUCGUAUUUACCCAAAAUGCCAAAUUUUGACAAAAUUUGUUUUCUCAGACUUGCUGCCCCUUCACCUUCGUGAAUUUACUAAUCACUUGUGAAAUAGAAUAGUCCUUAUAAUCCCCAAAUAGUCUUUUCCUUGGACUGCUGUCAAUUACCUUACGACAAAUUUAACAUAAAAUACUGUUGGGUGCAAUACCGUCGUAACUUAAUAUUGCACGACGAACAUCAAUCGUAAUAUACAACUGCGGGAUGUAAUAUUGACGUAAUAUUGUGGGGCGUAACACCGAUGGGCCGCGACGGGCACCCGGUACCUUACUCAACCGAGUACCAACAUAACGUAUCUUUCAUAUCAUUCUAUCACAGAUAAAAUAACCAGAGUAAAGUAUGAGGAAAUGCAAAUAUAUACAUAUGAAGUACGGGCCUAUAAGGCCAGGAUAAUUCUGUAUAUACUCGAAACAUAGGCCGACAAUGCCAUAAAAGUAUCCAUAUACAUGACAUUUGUCUACAAGCCUCUACAAAUACAUAAUAUCAUAUAGGUCGGCACAGAGUCCCGCCAUACCAAUGAAUACAUGUACUAAUCAUACUGACCAAAGAAGUAACUCCGAAGCAAAUGGAGCACACCAACACCUUCUGCUGAGCUGAUAGCCUACUUAGAGGACUCUCGACCUGUCUAUCAGGACCU
rnacentral:lncRNA from 1 species